UCUGAGCUCCCAGUCCCACCUCCUCUGAGCACCUGCAGGGCCACAAGAAUAAUUUCCAAGUGCUGGAAAGGCACCAAAUUCCUGCCCAGGCAUCCAGGUUUGAACAGAAGGGUGGCAGAAAUGCGGUGUGACAGGCUGCUCCAGAGGAUCCAGCCCACUGAGAAUUGGUGAGGAGUCAGCCAGGAGUUCUCCUGGAAAAACUGGGAAAAUCUUAGGAAAGAAGGCCUAAUCCAGGUGCAGCCCUCAUUUCCUGUUGGAUCUGAGCCUCUGGAGCUGCUGGAGCUGAGCAGUGUCCCAGGAGGGCAGCUUGGCAUGCAAGGAGAGCAAACCUUUCCCCAGAGCUGCCUGGAGGGGAGGAGCAGCCAGGCUGCCAUUCCCAGGGGAGCUGAGGAGAGCAUCCCCCUUUCCCUUCUCACCCCUUCCACUCUGCUCUCUCACCCAUCAUCUCCCUGUCCCUCCCUGCAUCUCUCUUUCCCUCUUUCCCUUUUUUCUCCAUGGAGAUGACCAAAUCAGAGACUCUGCUUCACCCCCCUCCCAGUAAGACCUGAAUCGUUUUUAUGAUUUUAUUUCUAAUUUAUCAGUUUCCCUCUGCCCCAUGGAGCCUCUGGGAUAACCCCAGACUAUGUAGGACUCUAAAAGGACCCUCCACAUCAGCUGGAAAAUGGGAUUCUCCUUGAUUAAAUGCUGGAAGUCCAUCUGCCACUGAAGAAAACACUUCCCUGCCCUGCCAGUGAAUGAGUUCAGCCCCUGGAAUAAAUGAGUGGGAAUCCACAGCUUUGGAGCAUGCUGCAGAUAUUAAAUCCCAUUGUUUCAAGCAGCCCUGGGAAGCUCUUGGAUGCUCCAGCACCAGGCACAGCAUGAGCACAAACUGGGAGCAAACAGCUCCUUCCUGCAAGCAGGCAGG